AGGGGUGUAGCUCAGCUGGUAGAGCAGCGGUCUCCAAAACCGCGUGUCGUAGGUUCGAACCCUGUCACCCCUG
rnacentral:tRNA from 2 species